AGUGCUUAAUUACUGCAACUUGAACUUAGAGGAGAAGAGCGUCAGACAGAGGUGUCUGGAAGGCGGUUUGUUACAAACCUGAGCCGCGCCUGAAUUAACUCAGGUUGGUAGCACAAUCCAAAGAGCACAGAAGACAUCUCCUCUAAUGGGGAUGAAACGUUUGCAACCAAAUCACCAAGCCCGGCGCUCAAACCAACUACAUAAAUAAUUGACUGAAUUCAUACUAUGAAUGAUUCUACAUAG